rnacentral:rRNA from 1 species
GACGUAGGGCGCGAGCGUUGUCCGGAUUUAUUGGGCGUAAAGAGCUCGUAGGCGGCUUGUCGCGUCGACUGUGAAAACUCGGGGCUCAACUCCGAGCUUGCAGUCGAUACGGGCAGGCUAGAGUUCGGUAGGGGAGACUGGAAUUCCUGGUGUAGCGGUGAAAUGCGCAGAUAUCAGGAGGAACACCGGUGGCGAAGGCGGUUCUCUGGGCCUUACCUGACGCUGAGGAGCGAAAGCAUGGGGAGCAAACAGG